UCCAGACUCCUACGGGAGGCAGCAGUGAGGAAUAUUGGUCAAUGGCCGAGAGGCUGAACCAGCCAAGUCGCGUGAGGGAAGACGGCCCUACGGGUUGUAAACCUCUUUUGUCGGGGAGCAAAGAGAGUCACGUGUGACUCAUUGAGAGUACCCGAAGAAAAAGCAUCGGCUAACUCCGUGCCAGCAGCCGCGGUAAUACGGAGGAUGCGAGCGUUAUCCGGAUUUAUUGGGUUUAAAGGGUGCGUAGGCGGCAUUAUAAGUUAGUGGUAAAAUAUUGGGGCUUCACCUCACUACGCCAUUAAUACUGUAGAGCUAGAGAACAGACGAGGUAGGCGGAAUAAGUUAAGUAGCGGUGAAAUGCAUAGAUAUAACUUAGAACACCGAUAGCGAAGGCAGCUUACCAGACUGAGUCUGACGCUGAUGCACGAGAGCAUGGGUAGCGAACAGGAUUAGAUACCCUCGUAGA
rnacentral:rRNA from 1 species